rnacentral:rRNA from 1 species
AGUGAACGCUGGCGGUAGGCCUAACACAUGCAAGUCGAACGGCAGCACAGGAGAGCUUGCUCUCUGGGUGGCGAGUGGCGGACGGGUGGGGAAUACAUCGGAAUCUACUCUGUCGUGGGGGAUAACGUAGGGAAACUUACGCUAAUACCGCAUACGACCUACGGGUGAAAGCAGGGGACCUUCGGGCCUUGCGCGAUUGAAUGAGCCGAUGUCGGAGUAGCUAGUUGGCGGGGUAAAGGCCCACCAAGGCGACGAUCCGUAGCUGGUCUGAGAAGAUGAUCAGCCACACUGGAACUGAGACACGGUCCAGACUCCUACGGGAGGCAGCAGUGGGGAAUAUUGGACAAUGGGCGCAAGCCUGAUCCAGCCAUACCGCGUGGGUGAAGAAGGCCUUCGGGUUGUAAAGCCCUUUUGUUGGGAAAGAAAUCCAGCUGGCUAAUACCCGGUUGGGAUGACGGUACCCAAAGAAUAAGCACCGGCUAACUUCGUGCCAGCCGCCGCCGUAA